GGUUGACCUCGGAUCAGGUAGGGAUACCCGCUGAACUUAAGCAUAUCAAUAAGCGGAGGAAAAGAAACCAACAGGGAUUGCCUCAGUAACGGCGAGUGAAGCGGCAAGAGCUCAAAUUUGAAAGCUGGCCCCUUCGGGGUCCGCGUUGUAAUUUGCAGAGGAUGCUUCGGGUGCAGCCCCCGUCUAAGUGCCCUGGAACGGGCCGUCAUAGAGGGUGAGAAUCCCGUCUGGGACGGGGUGUCUGCGUCCGUGUGAAGCUCCUUCGACGAGUCGAGUUGUUUGGGAAUGCAGCUCUAAAUGGGUGGUAAAUUUCAUCUAAAGCUAAAUACUGGCCGGAGACCGAUAGCGCACAAGUAGAGUGAUCGAAAGAUGAAAAGCACUUUGAAAAGAGAGUUAAACAGCACGUGAAAUUGUUGAAAGGGAAGCGUUUGCGACCAGACUCGCCCGCGGGGUUCAGCCGGCACUCGUGCCGGUGUACUUCCCCGUGGGCGGGCCAGCGUCGGUUUGGGCGGCCGGUCAAAGGCCCUCGGAAUGUAUCACCUCUCGGGGUGUCUUAUAGCCGAGGGUGCAAUGCGGCCUGUCCGGACCGAGGAACGCGCUUCGGCUCGGACGCUGGCGUAAUGGUCGUAAAUGACC
rnacentral:rRNA from 1 species